UCAAGCGCGAGAAGGGCGUUUGGUGGAUGCCUUGGCAGUAAGAGGCGAUGAAGGACGUGAUACUCUGCGAUAAGCUUUGGGAAGUCGAGAAUAGACGCUAUACCCAAAGAUCUCCGAAUGGGGCAACCCAACUGAUACUUUGUUAUUGUUACACUUUUGUGUAAUCAAUAAUGGGGUAAAACAGUUAUUAAUUACCUGAAUACAUAGGGUUUUUAAAGCAAACCUGGGGAACUGAAACAUCUAAGUACCCAGAGGAAAGGAAAUCAAUAGAUACUCCCGUAGUAGUGGCGAGCGAACCGGGACCAGCCGAGCGAUGAAUGUGACUAGAACCAGUUGGAAAGCUGGGCAAUAUGGGUGACAGCCCCGUAUAGGAAGCAUGAUUUGACGUAUUAAGUAGGGCGGAACACGUGAAAUUCUGUCUGAACAUGGGGGGACCACCCUCUAAGGCUAAGUACUCCUUACUGACCGAUAGCGAACCAGUACCGUGAGGGAAAGGUGAAAAGCACCCCGACGAGGGGAGUGAAACAGUUUCUGAAACCGGACGCCUACAAACAGUUGGAGCCUCUUUAUGGGGUGACAGCGUACCUUUUGUAUAAUGGGUCAACGACUUGGUCUUACUAGCAAGCUUAAGCCGAUAGGUGUAGGCGCAGCGAAAGCGAGUCUUAAUAGGGCGAAUGAGUUAGUAGGAUCAGACCCGAAACCGAGUGAUCUAGGCAUGAGCAGGUUGAAGGUAAGGUAACACUUACUGGAGGACCGAACCCACAUCUGUUGAAAAAGAUCGGGAUGACUUGUGCCUAGGGGUGAAAGGCCAAUCAAACUCGGAGAUAGCUGGUUCUCCGCGAAAUCUAUUUAGGUAGAGCGUCGCACGAAUACCUUGGGGGGUAGAGCACUGAAUGGGUAAUGGGGACUCACCGUCUUACUGAUCCUAAUCAAACUCCGAAUACCCAAGAGUAAUAUGCGGCAGACACACUGCGGAUGCUAACGUCCGUAGUGGAGAGGGAAACAACCCUGACCCUCAGCUAAGGCCCCUAAUUCAUGGCUAAGUGGGAAAGCAGGUGGGACGACCAAAACAACCAGGAAGUUGGCUUAGAAGCAGCCAUCUUUUAAAGAUAGCGUAACAGCUCACUGGUCUAAUUUAAGUUAUCCUGCGGCGAAGAUGUACCGGGGCUCAAGCCAUGAGCCGAAGCUAGGGAUGCAAUUUAUUGCAUGGUAGCGGAGCGUUCUGUGAUAUAGAACGCUGCGUCUUUAGUAUCUUAGGAUAUUGUGGACGCAAUGUUCUGACUGUGAAGCCGGCGCGUAAGCGAUCCGGUGGAGUGAUCAGAAGUGAGAAUGUUGACAUGAGUAGCGACAAACAGGGUGAGAGACCCUGUCGCCGAAAGUCCAAGGGUUCCUGCUUAAAGCUAAUCUGAGCAGGGUAAGCCGACCCCUAAGGCGAGGCCGAAAGGCGUAGUCGAUGGGAACCAGUUUAAUAUUACUGGGCCAGGAGAUGGUGACGGAUCGAAAGCGUAGUGACUCCUUAUCGGAUUGAAGUUGCUGCCGGACGGUUCCUGGAAAUAGCCCUCCAUUAGAUCGUACCCUAAACCAACACAGGUGGACUGGUAGAGAAUACCAAGGCGCUUGAGAGAACUACAUUGAAGGAACUCGGCAAAAUGCCUCCGUAAGUUCGCGAGAAGGAGGCCCCAUCAGAAGGCAACUUUUGGUGGGGGGCACAGACCAGGGGGUGGCGACUGUUUACUAAAAACACAGGGCUCUGCGAAGUCGUAAGACGACGUAUAGGGUCUGACGCCUGCCCGGUGCUGGAAGGUUAAGAGGAGGUGUGCAAGCACUGAAUUGAAGCCCCAGUAAACGGCGGCCGUAACUAUAACGGUCCUAAGGUAGCGAAAUUCCUUGUCGGGUAAGUUCCGACCUGCACGAAUGGCGUAACGACUUCCCCGCUGUCUCCAAUGUAGACUCAGCGAAAUUGAAUUGCCUGUCAAGAUGCAGGCUUCCCGCGGUUAGACGG
rnacentral:rRNA from 2 species